rnacentral:rRNA from 1 species
AACAAACGCUGGCGGCGUGCCUAACACAUGCAAGUCGAACGAGAAAGUCGGUUUCGGCCGAUGAGUAAAGUGGCGCACGGGUGAGUAACGCGUGGAUAAUCUACCCUUUAGUCCGGAAUAACUUGCCGAAAGGUGAACUAAUACCGGAUGACAUCCCGGGUUCUCCGGAAACCGGGAUCAAAGAAGGCCUCUGCUUGCAAGCUUUUGCUGAAGGAUGAGUCCGCGUACCAUUAGCUAGUUGGUGGGGUAAUGGCCUACCAAGGUUAUGAUGGUUAGCUGGUCUGAGAGGAUGAUCAGCCACACUGGAACUGAAACACGGUCCAGACUCCUACGGGAGGCAGCAGUGAGGAAUAUUGCGCAAUGGGGGCAACCCUGACGCAGCAACGCCGCGUGAGUGAGGAAGGUUUUCGGAUUGUAAAGCUCUGUCGAGCGGAAAGAAAUGCACGAUGGCUAAUAUCCACCAUGCUUGACGGUACCGCUAGAGGAAGCACCGGCUAACUCCG